rnacentral:rRNA from 1 species
UACGUAGGGGGCAAGCGUUGUCCGGAAUCAUUGGGCGUAAAGCGCGUGUAGGCGGUUCGGUAAGUCUGCUGUGAAAGUCCAGGGCUCAACCCUGGGAUGCCGGUGGAUACUGUCGGGCUAGAGUGCGGAAGAGGCGAGUGGAAUUCCCGGUGUAGCGGUGAAAUGCGCAGAUAUCGGGAGGAACACCAAUUGCGAAGGCAGCUCGCUGGGACGUAACUGACGCUGGAGACGCGAAAGCGUGGGGAGCAAACAGG